rnacentral:rRNA from 1 species
GACGAACGCUGGCGGCGUGCCUAAUACAUGCAAGUAGAACGCUGAAGAGAGGAGCUUGCUCUUCUUGGAUGAGUUGCGAACGGGUGAGUAACGCGUAGGUAACCUGCCUUGUAGCGGGGGAUAACUAUUGGAAACGAUAGCUAAUACCGCAUAACAAUGGAUGACACAUGUCAUUUAUUUGAAAGGGGCAAUUGCUCCACUACAAGAUGGACCUGCGUUGUAUUAGCUAGUAGGUGAGGUAACGGCUCACCUAGGCGACGAUACAUAGCCGACCUGAGAGGGUGAUCGGCCACACUGGGACUGAGACACGGCCCAGACUCCUACGGGAGGCAGCAGUAGGAAUCUUCGGCAAUGGGGGCAACCCUGACCGAGCAACGCCGCGUGAGUGAAGAAGGUUUUCGGAUCGUAAAGCUCUGUUGUAAGUCAAGAACGAGUGUGAGAGUGGAAAGUUCACACUG